ACAGUGGUAGUUCAAUGACAGAAUUCUCACCUUCCACAUGGGAGACCUAGGUUCAAUUCCUGGCCAAUGUA
rnacentral:tRNA from 1 species